UGUUGUGGUUCAUGAAAAAUAUUGACGCGAAAAUAUCGAGGAAGGCUAAGGGCAAAAUUGGAAUUUUAAAAAUUAGUUUCGUGAAUUACAAAUUAUUUAACCAAGUAAUUGGGCUAGGAAAAAAAGUCACAAAAAAAAAAGAUAGAAUAGAGGCCCAAGCCCAUUGGCCAAAUUAAUUCAAUACAACAAAUAAAUAAAGGGGCCAUUAGUCAUCUUCUUUUAGAAGAUUCAAGAAAACAAAUAAAAAAUUGAGAGCAAGAGCCAAGAGAAAGGGCCAUACGGCCAAAGAAAGAAAAGAAAAAAAAAUUGGAGCUCAAAUCUUUAGUUCAAAAAUUCAUCUCUUGUGGAAUUACUACUAAGCUCAAAGCCCUCUUCAAUGUGAUACAACUUUGGAAGCAAGAAAGUACUUUUUUUACCAAGUGGAGAAUUUGGAAAAAGAUUUUGGAGGAAACGAGAUUUGAGUUUGGACAAGCGUAAAAGGCAAAUAAGGUACAAACGCUUAUCGAGGUGAUCCGCCAGCCUAGGGUGCAUAUUCUGCUGUUCUGAAGCGCUCCUUUGAUCCGGAGCCCAUACUUUUGGUACAGAUCUUUCUGUUACAUAUACCUUUGUGUUUAUAAUUAUUUUGGGUACGGCGGGGCCCUGUCCCGUCAUAUGAUUCCGUUGUCUGUAUUAGAGGUCCGUGGACAUAUAUGUGGGCCGUGGGUCGUGUUUGCUUAGCGACGUUUAUUUGGGUCGUGUCCGGUUUUCCCUUACACUACGUUAACUCGAUCAUUUUAUGUGUUACAAUAUAAGGAACGACUUAAAUGAUAUGUAUAUGAUUUUGUAUGCACGAGGUUCAUAAUAUAUAAACACA